AAGAGUUUGAUCCUGGCUCAGGAUGAACGCUGGCGGUGUGCCUUAUACAUGCAUGUCGAACGAGGCGUAGCAAUACGUCUAGUGGCAAAUGGGUGAGUAAUAAAUAGGUAACCAACCCUUAAGACGGGGAUACCCCAUCGAAAGAUGGAAUAAUACCCGAUAAUGUCCCUUCCGGUGCGCUGGAGGGGAAGAAAGAUGGCGCAAGCUAUCACUUUUGGACGGGCUUAUUUCCUAUCAGCUAGUUGGUGAGGUAACGGCUUACCAAGGCUACGACGGGUAGCUGGUCUGAGAGGACGGUCAGCCACAUUGGGACUGCGACACGGCCCAGACUCCUACGGGAGGCAGCAGUCGGGAAUAUUCGGCCAAUGCGCGAAAGCGUGACCGAGCGACACCGCGUGGGCGACGAAGAUCUUAGGAUUGUAAAGCCCUUUUGCCAGGGAAGAAUACGCUGGAGACAAUAUCAAGAGCGUUUGACGGUACCUGGCGAAUAAGCCGCAGCAAACUACGUGCCAGCAGCUGCGGUAAUACGUAGGCGGCAAGCGUUAUCCGGAAUUACUGGGUGUAAAGGGUCCGCAGGCGUCUUGUUAAGUUAGGAGUUAAAUCUCAAAGCCCAACUUUGAGGCUGUUCCUAAGACUGGCAAGAUAGAGUGUAGAAGACGGAAGUGGAAUUCCUGGUGGAGAGGUAAAAUCCGUAGAUAUCAGGAGGAACACCUGUGGUGAAGACGGCUUCCGAGUCUAUAACUGACGCUCAGGGACGAAAGCUAGGGGAGCAAACAGGAUUAGAUACCCUGGUAGUCCUAGCCCUAAACGAUGAAUACUUGGUAAUAGGGAGUACAUACUCUUUAUCGCCGAAGCCAACGCAUUAAGUAUUCCACCUGGGGACUACGGCCGCAAGGUUGAAACUCAAAGGAAUUGACGGGGGCCCGCACAAGCAGCGAGGCAUGUGGUUUAAUUCGAUGCUACACGAAGAACCUUACCUGGGCUUGACAUGUAGUGGAAAGCGGUAUGAAAGUACUGCCCUUGUUGUAGCAAUACAACAACCGCUAUGCAGGUGGUGCAUGGUUGUCGUCAGCUCGUGUCGUGAGAUGUAAGGUUAAGUCCUUAAACGAGCGCAACCCCUGCCACUAGUUGCCACCGGUUCGGCCGGGCACUCUAGUGGGACCGCUAGUGAUAAACUAGAGGAAGGUGGGGAUGACGUCAAAUCCUCACGCCCCUUAUGUCCAGGGCUACACACAUGCGACAAUGGUAGGGACAGCAGGACGCGACGAGGUAACUCUGAGCCAAUCCUCAAACCCUGCCCCAGUACAGAUCGAGGGCUGCAACCCGCCCUCGUGAAGAUGGAGUUGCUAGUAAACGCAGGUCAGCUAUACUGCGUUGAAUACGUUCCCGGGCCUUGUACACACCGCCCGUCACACCACCCGAGUCGUGUGCACCCGAAGUCGGCAACCUCAACCGCAAGGAGAGGACCGCCGAAGGUGUGCUCGGUAAGGAGGGUGAAGUCGUAACAAGGCAGGUGUACGAGAACGUGCGCCUGGAUCACCUCCUUUCUAAGGAG
rnacentral:rRNA from 1 species